UUGGUUAAGUUAGAAAGGGCGCACGGUGGAUGCCUUGGCACUAGGAGCCGAAGAAGGACGGGACUAACACCGAUAUGCUUUGGGGAGCUGUACGUAAGCGUUGAUCCAGAGAUUUCCGAAUGGGGGAACCCACUAUCUUUAGUCGGAUAGUAUCCUUACGUGAAUACAUAGCGUGAGGAAGGCAGACCCAGGGAACUGAAACAUCUAAGUACCUGGAGGAAGAGAAAGAAAAAUCGAUUUCCUGAGUAGCGGCGAGCGAAACGGAAAGAGCCCAAACCAAGAAGCUUGCUUCUUGGGGUUGUAGGACACUCUAUACGGAGUUACAAAAGAAAGUUAUAAAUGAAGCGGUCUGGAAAGGCCCGCCAAAGACGGUAACAGCCCGGUAGUUGAAAUGGCUUUCCCUCCAGAGUGGAUCCUGAGUACGGCGGAACACGUGAAAUUCCGUCGGAAUCCGGGAGGACCAUCUCCCAAGGCUAAAUACUCCCUAGUGACCGAUAGUGAACCAGUACCGUGAGGGAAAGGUGAAAAGCACCCCGGAAGGGGAGUGAAACAGUUCCUGAAACCGUGUGCCUACAAGUAGUUAGAGCCCGUUAAUGGGUGAUAGCGUGCCUUUUGUAGAAUGAACCGGCGAGUUACGAUUUGUUGCAAGGUUAAGCGGAAAAAGCGGAGCCGUAGCGAAAGCGAGUCUGAAUAGGGCGCAUAAGUAACAGGUCGUAGACCCGAAACCAGGUGAUCUACCCAUGUCCAGGAUGAAGGUAAGGUAAUACUUACUGGAGGUCCGAACCCACGCACGUUGAAAAGUGCGGGGAUGAGGUGUGGGUAGCGGAGAAAUUCCAAUCGAACUUGGAGAUAGCUGGUUCUCUCCGAAAUAGCUUUAGGGCUAGCCUCGAGGUAAAGAGUCAUGGAGGUAGAGCACUGUUUGGACUAGGGGCCCUUCUCGGGUUACCGAAUU
rnacentral:rRNA from 1 species